GACAACAGUAACCAGAGCAAUCAAAGCAGGAAGAGGCUUACAGGUCCUACAGGAAGAACAUACAAACUGACUAAUCGGACUGACUUCAUCUACGAAACAAGGGGUAAAAAGAAGGACAUAAUCAGAACCCAAGCACAGACAAAGAAAACAAUAGGAAGAUCUUACCAAAAAAUCAUAGACAAAGGCCCACCAAAGAACGCCUUACGAGGUCAAAAGAAGAAAAAAAUGAAUGGCCAGACACCAUUAAAAAAUUCAGAAGACCCUUUCAUUACCUACAUUAAUAAUACGGAGGAUAACAAAGUGAUGGUGCAUAUUGAAGAAGUGGAGGUUAAACGGAUAAGAAUGAAUGUACUAACACAACCAGAAUUCUUAAAUGAUGAUGUCAUGGAUGCAUACAUCCAAUGCCUCCGCUAUAAUGAGAAAGGAAUCAGGGGAGAUGGCAAGGCCUUCCUAGAGAUGGCCAUUAAAACAGGUCUACUAAAUGUAGAGGGAGCGCAUGUCGAAGCAAGCAAACCUCGAGAUAAACGAUGGAUUAGAGAUAUGGCACGCGACUAUCUAGCAUUUGACAUGAAGGAUGUGAAAACAUUUCGACAGGACUUAGCCGGAAUUUUGAUCAACUCCGAACUGAGCAAGAUUAAAGAUCGUCCACUACUACCAACCACGACAUAA
rnacentral:lncRNA from 1 species